rnacentral:rRNA from 1 species
AUGCAGUCGAACGAUGAAGCCUAGCUUGCUGGGUGGAUUAGUGGCGAACGGGUGAGUAACACGUGAGUAACCUGCCCUUGACUCUGGGAUAAGCGCUGGAAACGGCGUCUAAUACCGGAUACGACCUGCCCCGGCAUCGGGUGUGGGUGGAAAGUUUUUCGGUCAAGGAUGGACUCGCGGCCUAUCAGCUUGUUGGUGAGGUAAUGGCUCACCAAGGCGACGACGGGUAGCCGGCCUGAGAGGGUGACCGGCCACACUGGGACUGAGACACGGCCCAGACUCCUACGGGAGGCAGCAGUGGGGAAUAUUGCACAAUGGGCGAAAGCCUGAUGCAGCAACGCCGCGUGGGGGAUGACGGCCUUCGGGUUGUAAACCUCUUUUAGUAGGGAAGAAGGGCUUCGGCUUGACGGUACCUGCAGAAAAAGCACCGGCUAACUACGUGCCAGCAGCCGCGGUAAUACGUAGGGUGCAAGCGUUGUCCGGAAUUAUUGGGCGUAAAGAGCUCGUAGGCGGUUUGUCGCGUCUGCUGUGAAAACCCGAGGCUCAACCUCGGGCCUGCAGUGGGUACGGGCAGACUAGAGUGCGGUAGGGGAGAACGGAAUUCCUGGUGUAGCGGUGGAAUGCGCAGAUAUCAGGAGGAACACCGAUGGCGAAGGCAGUUCUCUGGGCCGUUACUGACGCUGAGGAGCGAAAGCGUGGGGAGCGAACAGGAUUAGAUACCCUGGUAGUCCACGCCGUAAACGUUGGGAACUAGAUGUGGGGACCUUUCCACGGUUUCCGUGUCGCAGCUAACGCAUUAAGUUCCCCGCCUGGGGAGUACGGCCGCAAGGCUAAAACUCAAAGGAAUUGACGGGGGCCCGCACAAGCGGCGGAGCAUGCGGAUUAAUUCGAUGCAACGCGAAGAACCUUACCAAGGCUUGACAUAUACCGGAAACUUCCAGAGAUGGUUGCCCCGCAAGGUCGGUAUACAGGUGGUGCAUGGUUGUCGUCAGCUCGUGUCGUGAGAUGUUGGGUUAAGUCCCGCAACGAGCGCAACCCUCGUUCUAUGUUGCCAGCACGUUAUGGUGGGAACUCAUAGGAGACUGCCGGGGUCAACUCGGAGGAAGGUGGGGAUGACGUCAAAUCAUCAUGCCCCUUAUGUCUUGGGCUUCACGCAUGCUACAAUGGCCGGUACAAAGGGCUGCGAUACCGUAAGGUGGAGCGAAUCCCAAAAAGCCGGUCUCAGUUCGGAUUGAGGUCUGCAACUCGACCUCAUGAAGUCGGAGUCGCUAGUAAUCGCAGAUCAGCAACGCUGCGGUGAAUACGUUCCCGGGCCUUGUACACACCGCCCGUCAAGUCAUGAAAGUCGGUAACACCCGAAGCCAGUGGCCUAACCGUAAGG